rnacentral:rRNA from 1 species
AUUGAACGCUGGCGGCAUGCUUUACACAUGCAAGUCGAACGGUAACAGGCCUUAGGGUGCUGACGAGUGGCGCACGGGUGAGUAAUGCAUCGGAACGUGCCCAGAGGUGGGGGAUAACGCAGCGAAAGCUGUGCUAAUACCGCAUGUGAUCUGAGGAUGAAAGCGGGGGACCAAGCAGCAAUGUUUGGCCUCGCGCCUCUGGAGCGGCCGAUGUCAGAUUAGGUAGUUGGUGGGGUAAAGGCCUACCAAGCCGACGAUCUGUAGCUGGUCUGAGAGGACGAGCAGCCACACUGGCAGUGAGACACGGCCCAGACUCCUACGGGAGGCAGCAGUAGGGAAUUUUGGACAAUGGGCGCAAGCCUGAUCCAACAAUGCCGCGUGCGGGAAGAAGGCCUUCGGGUUGUAAACCGCUUUUGUACGGAACGAAAAGGCUCUGGCUAAUACCUGGGGCUGAUGACGGUACCGUAAGAAUAAGCACCGGCUAACUACGUG